GCUGGGCAUGGUGGUGCAUGCCUGCAACCCAGCACCUCGGGAGGCUGAGACAGAAGGAUCAGGAGUUCAAAGCCAGCCUCAGCAAUGGUGAGGCCCUAAGAAACUCAGUGAGACCCUGUCUCUA
rnacentral:sRNA from 1 species